rnacentral:rRNA from 1 species
AAAGUAGCGAAGCACACAGACCAUCUGUCGAGAAAAGCCGCUAUUGUGUAUACCGUACCCGUACCGUAAACCGACACAGGUGGAUGAGGAGAGAAUCCUAAGGCCGGCGGGAGAAGCAUUGUUAAGGAACUCGGCAAAAUGACCCCGUAACUUCGGGAGAAGGGGUGCUCACGCAAGUGAGCCGCAGAGAACUGGCCCAAGCAACUGUUUAGCAAAAACACAGGUCUAUGCAAAACCGAAAGGUGAGGUAUAUGGGCUGACGCCUGCCCGGUGCUGGAAGGUUAAGAGGAGAUGUUAGAGCAAUCGAAGCAUUGAAUUUAAGCCCCAGUAAACGGCGGCCGUAACAAUAACGGUCCUAAGGUAGCGAAAUUCCUUGUCGGGUAAGUUCCGACCCGCACGAAAGGCGUAAUGAUUUGGGCACUGUCUCGACAAUGCACCCGGUGAAAUUGAAAUACCAGUGAAGAUGCUGGUUACCUGCGCCAGGACGGAAAGACCCCAUGGAGCUUUACUCUAGCUUGAUACUGGGAUUCGGUAUUGCAUGUACAGGAUAGGUGGGAGACGAAGAGGUGAUGACGCCAGUUGUCACGGAGUCGAUGUUGGGAUACCACCCCUGCAGUACUGGGUUUCUAACCUGCGGCCGUGACCCGGCCGGGGGACAAUGUCUGGUGGGGAGUUUGACUGGGGCGGUCGCCUCCGAAAGGGUAUCGGAGGCGCUCAAAGGUUCCCUCAGAAUGGUUGGAAACCAUUCGAAGAGUGCAAAGGCAGAAGGGAGCUUGACUGCGACACCGACGGGUGGAGCAGGUACGAAAGUAGGACUUAGUGAUCCGGUGGUAUGAAAGUGGGAUUGCCAUCGCUCAACGGAUAAAAGCUACCCUGGGAUAACAGGCUUAUCACUCCCAAGAGUUCACAUCGACGGAGUGGUUUGGCACCUCGAUGUCGGCUCAUCGCAUCCUGGGGCUGUAGUAGGUCCCAAGGGUUGGGCUGUUCGCCCAUUAAAGCGGUACGCGAGCUGGGUUCAGAACGUCGUGAGACAGUUCGGUCCCUAUCCGGCGUGGGCGCAGGAUAUCUGAGAGGAGCUGUCCUUAGUACGAGAGGACCGGGAUGGACUGACCUCUGGUGCAUCGGUUGAGCCACCAGGCUCAUGGCCGAGUAGCCAAGUCGGGACGGGAUAAACGCUGAAGGCAUCUAAGCGUGAAGCCCCCCUCAAGAUGAGAUAUCCCAUAGAGUUAAUCUAGUAAGACCCCUUGAAGACGACGAGGUAGAUAGGCAGAAGGUGGAAGUGUGGUGACAUAUGGAGCUGAUCUGUACUAAUAGGUCGAGGGCCU